rnacentral:rRNA from 1 species
GACGAACGCUGGCGGCGUGCUUAACACAUACAAGUCGAACGGAAAGGCCCUGCUUUUGUGGGGUGCUCGAGUGGCGAACGGGUGAGUAACACGUGAGUAACCUGCCCUUGACUUUGGGAUAGCUUCAGGAAACUGGGGCUAAUACCGGAUAGGAGCUCCUGCUGCAUGGUGGGGGUUGGAAAGUUUCGGCGGUUGGGGAUGGACUCGCGGCUUAUCAGCUUGUUGGUGGGGUAGUGGCUUACCAAGGCUUUGACGGGUAGCCGGCCUGAGAGGGUGACCGGCCACAUUGGGACUGAGAUACGGCCCAGACUCCUACGGGAGGCAGCAGUGGGGAAUAUUGCACAAUGGGCGGAAGCCUGAUGCAGCAACGCCGCGUGCGGGAUGACGGCCUUCGGGUUGUAAACCGCUUUCGCCUGUGACGAAGCGUGAGUGACGGUAAUGGGUAAAGAAGCACCGGCUAACUACGUG